rnacentral:rRNA from 1 species
CAAUAGCGUAUAUUAAAGUUGUUGCAGUUAAAAAGCUCGUAGUUGGAUUUCGGGACGGGCCAGUUGGUCCGCCGCAAGGUGUGUUACUGACUGGUCUGUUCUUCUUCGCAAAGACUGCGUGUGCUCUUCGUUGAGUGUGCGUAGGAUUUACGACGUUUACUUUGAAAAAAUUAGAGUGUUCAAAGCAGGCUAUCGCUUGAAUACAUGAGCAUGGAAUAAUGGAAUAGGACUUUGGUCCUAUUUUGUUGGUUUCUAGGACCGAAGUAAUGAUUAAGAGGGACAAUUGGGGGCAUCCGUAUUUCGUUGUCAGAGGUGAAAUUCUUGGAUUUACGAAGGACGAACAACUGCGAAAGCACUUGCCAAGAGUGUUUUCAUUAA